AUGGCCUGGGCCAUUCUCCUCGCAGUACUUGCCCACAGCUCAGGUUCCCUGGUCCAGGCAGCACCAAGUCAGCCAUCCUCACUGUCAGCCAAGGUGGGAGACACCGUCAGGAUCACCUGCUCCGGGAUUAGCAGCUGGGGCUAUGCUGGCUGGCAUCAGCAGAAGGUCCCUGGCAGUGCCCCUGUCACUGUGAUCUACAACAGCAACAGCAGACCCUCGGACAUCCCUUCGCGAUUCUCCGGAUCCAAGUCCGGCUCCACGGGCACGUUAACCAUCACUGGGGUCCAAGCCGAGGACGAGGCUGUCUAUUUCUGUGGUAGCAUAGACAGCAGCAGUGAUGCUGCACAGUGACACAGAACAAUGGGGAAGCGAUACAAAAGCCUCCCACCUGAGCUGUCUCUUAA